UUGACUAAAAUUUUAUGGAUUUGGAACGUUUGCCUACGUUUGCCGUUAGGGGCGCUGUUCUAACUGCAUACAAAUUUAAGUUA
rnacentral:pre_miRNA from 1 species